AAUCAACGCUGGCGGCGUGCCUCAGACAUGCAAGUCGAACGAUUAAACUUCCCUUCGGGGAAGAUAUACAGUGGCGCACGGGUGAGUAACACGUAGGUAAUGUACCUUUGGGUGGGGAAUAACUUAGGGAAACUUAAGCUAAUACCGCAUAAUGCAGCGGCUCCUUCGGGAGACAGUUGUUAAAGAUUUAUCGCCUAAAGAGCAGCCUGCGGCAGAUUAGCUAGUUGGUAAGGUAACGGCUUACCAAGGCUACGAUCUGUAUCCGACCUGAGAGGGUGGUCGGACACACUGACACUGAAUAACGGGUCAGACUCCUACGGGAGGCAGCAGUCGGGAAUUUUGGGCAAUGGGCGAAAGCCUGACCCAGCAACGCCGCGUGAAGGAUGAAGUCUUUCGGGAUGUAAACUUCGUAAGAAUAGGAAGAAUAAAUGACGGUACUAUGUGUAAGGUCCGGCUAACUACGUG
rnacentral:rRNA from 1 species